rnacentral:rRNA from 1 species
UACAGAGGUCUCAACCGUUGUUCGGAUUCACUGGGCGUAAAGGGUGCGUAGGCGGCGGGGUAAGUCAGGUGUGAAAUCUCGGGGCUCAACCCCGAAACUGCACUUGAUACUGCCUCGCUUGAGUACUGGAGAGGAGACUGGAAUUUACGGUGCAGCAGUGAAAUGCGUAGAUAUCGUAAGGAAGACCAGUGGCGAAGGCGAAUCUCUGGACAGUUACUGACACUGAGGCACGAAGGCCAGGGGAGCAAACGGG